UACGUAGGGGGCAAGCGUUAUCCGGAUUUACUGAGUGUAAAGGGAGCGUAGACGGAAUUGCAAGUCUGAUGUGAAAAUCCGGGGCCCAACCCCGGAACUGCAUUGGAAACUGUAUUUCUAGAGUGUCGGAGAGGCAAGUGGAAUUCCUGGUGUAGCGGUGAAAUGCGUAGAUAUCAGGAGGAACACCAGUGGCGAAGGCGGCUUGCUGGACGAUGACUGACGUUGAGGCUCGAAAGCGUGGGGAGCAAACAGG
rnacentral:rRNA from 1 species